AUUGAACGCUGGCGGCAUGCUUUACACAUGCAAGUCGAACGGCAGCGGGGUAGUGCUUGCACUACUGCCGGCGAGUGGCGAACGGGUGAGAAGUAUAUCGGAACGUACCGAGUAGUGGGUGAUAACCAAACGAAAGAUUGGCUAAUACCGCAUACGUCCUGAGGGAGAAAGCGGGGGAUCGCAAGACCUCGCGUUAUUCGAGCGGCCGAUGAGUUAUUAGCUAGUUGGGGGGGUAAAGGGCUACCAAGGGGGCGAUCAGUAGCGGAUCUGAGAGUACGAUACGCCACACUGGGAGUGGAACACCGCCCAUGGGCCUGCGGGAGGCAGCAGUGUGGUAUGUGGGACAACGGUGGCGACCAUGGUCCAGUGGGGCCACGUGUAUGAAGAAGGCCUUCGGGGUGUAAAGUACUUUUGUGAGGGAAGAAAAGCGAUGGGCUAAUACGACGUUUUGGUGACGGUACCUAAAGAAGAAGCACCGGCUAACUACGUG
rnacentral:rRNA from 1 species